AGACAGCCCAAAAGCUGAGAGAGAGCACGCAUCCAAAGUUCCAAACUAGUCUGCAGCUGCUGUUCGUGUGCAUAUCCAGUGAGUGAAGUGCAGGAAGAUGACCAACCAUGGCGCCACCUCCGCUGCUCCGUGCAGAGAUGGUCACGGAUCAGCAGCAAGCAGGAGACACAUGCCCAGGCGUGGGCAGAUCAAGGCGAGGAUUGUGUCGGCAGCCGUGCACUCAGUCGCCUCGGUGCUCUUGAAAGCCCUCCACAGCAGCCACAUCCUGGUCAGAAACCCCUUCUGAUGGAGCUAUCAGCUAGUAUACCGAAAUUAGGCGAGUUACCUGUUCGGCUGUACCUGGAAUCAGCUGGUUUUCAAGUGUAAGCAUGGUUCAGAAAGUGAUAGCCUAGAUGGAUGUACUCAUGUACAUUUCUUUCUCCCUCCCUCGUUUCGCAUCUUGUUUGUACACUAGUUUUGUUAUUAUCAAUCACACAGUGUGGUUAAAGAUUAAGCAAGCUCUUGCUACUCC
rnacentral:sRNA from 1 species